AGGGCCUUCCCGGAGAGCAGGUGACGGCGGCCUCCGGGCAUGGAGCUCGCGCUGACGAAAGGUUCUGGAAGCCGCCGUAAAAACCCUUUGAGGAACCGUUUGAGGUGUGGCACGAUACAGCAAGUCAGCUGCCAAAGAGGGGCUUAGCCACAGGAAGUGCGUGCCCAGAACGGUAAAGGGGCUGUGGCCUUUCUUAUCAUCUCCACUCCCUGUCCCCCCCAUCACCUGCUCUUCGUGCUUUGUGAUAAUUCAGUGAGCUCAUACUCAUGACCUGUGUCCUCCAGCAUCUCCCGUGUCCCUCACAGCAGUUCUAUGAGGCUGGCUGCCCUGUUUGACAACUGAGGCCCGCAUCUUCCCCGGAAUCACCGACGUGUGGCUCUGAGCCCUGUCCCAGGGAUUUUCUCCAUCAGAGAAGAGGAGCACUUUGAGCUUUGAGAGGAGCAGCCCUCUGCAAGUGAAGUGGAAAAAAAGGAAGCAGGCGAGGAGGCCCAUCCAGACCCUCCCCCAAGACCCUUGCUGAAAUGGCUGGGAUGCGGCGUGCAGAAGCUCUCCUUUCCUUCACAGCCCCUGGCUUUCCAAGAGUCCCUGCCCACCCAGAUGCCCGCUGGCAGAUGCAGCCUCAUCUCAAGGACACUGCUUGCUGGAUAAAUCCCUCACCACCCUAGAGACAGCCCACGGUCCUGAGACAAGGAUGCGGGCCAGGCUUGUUGCACGUAAGCGCCUCCCGCAGAAACCAGUGAGGCCGGAGUUCCAGAGGAAAUGAUGUAGGGACAGAGGCAGAGGGCCUCCAGGAGGCACCAGCCCCAGAGUCUUCCCUAGAAUCAGACUUUAAGCACAAGCAGGGAGGGAAAGCACUUGAGCAGUGCCCGUCCCUGCAUACCUGGCCUCUGCUGGAACCCAUGCAGGGACAGGACACUUCUUUAUCAGCAAUCCUGUUCCUCUCCUGGGCAGCUUCAACCUGAACAUCCUCCUUCACCUUGAGCUAAAAUGGGUUUCUUGUCACCCUUGCCCAUCAAACCUGGCCUUGCCCUCAGGAACCACACAGGACAAGCCUAAUACUUCCUUCUUGUGGCAACACUUUAGCAAUUGAGACCUGGCUGUCAGGUCCUCCAAAUAAACAUUUGUGACUGUGAUGUUGA
rnacentral:lncRNA from 1 species